GUGAGGAAUAUUGGUCAAUGGGCGAGAGCCUGAACCAGCCAAGUCGCGUGAAGGAAGAAGGAUCUAUGGUUCGUAAACUUCUUUUGCAGGGGAAUAAAGUGCAGGACGUGUCCUGUUUUGUAUGUACCCUGAGAAUAAGGAUCGGCUAACUCCGUGCCAGCAGCCGCGGUAAUACGGAGGAUCCGAGCGUUAUCCGGAUUUAUUGGGUUUAAAAGGUGCGUAGGUGGUUUGAUAAGUCAGCGGUGAAAGUUUGCAGCUUAACUGUAAAAAUGCCGUUGAAACUGUCGGACUUGAGUGUAAAUGAGGUAGGCGGAAUGCGUGGUGUAGCGGUGAAAUGCAUAGAUAUCACGCAGAACUCCGAUUGCGAAGGCAGCUUACUAAGCUACAACUGACACUGAAGCACGAAAGCGUGGGGAUCAAACAGGAUUAGAAACCCGAGUAGUCC
rnacentral:rRNA from 1 species